GAAAAACAUGAACUCGUGAUCUCAUGGCACAUGAUCACUUGGAAAAUCUCAGCUAAACCGACGCAUCUCCAGACAGCACGUUUUGACCCCUGACUCUGUGACGGUUUUCCACAGAACGGAAGAAGAUUUUGACUAGAGAAGAGAUCCUGCAGAUGUUUGCUAGGACCCAAAUACCUCCUAACCUGAGGAGGAGGAGGUCUUCUACUUUCAUUGCCUCUGCUGGAAUUUCAGUACUAGAUUCAGUUGGCUGGAGGGAUACGGGCUACAUAACAGAGAUCACCAUGAUAACACGGAGGUGGUAUUCCAUAUAUUGUGUACUAAUUCCAGGCCAAUAGCAACACCAAAUUUAAGUCUAAAUCUUAAGAGGGUCAACUUAAGAGGGCUAUACAGUACAUUGUUUCUGAGGAAGUCUACCAUUACACUGCAAUGGCUGGACAAUGCAGGUAUAACCAUCACAUACUGCCAACUGCUCCAGGUACAAAUAUGUUUCUGAGGGUAAUGAGGAGGCUCUUAAGCAAGCUGUGGCCACCAGUGGACCUAUCUCUGUGGUUACUGAUGCUAUUUGCACAUAAUUCAUGAUUUACUUUAACAACUACAAAUGGUCUCAAAACAAGUAGCUGGUGGAUGUGAUGAUUACCCUGACAGUAAAUCCAGUUUGCAUUGUAAUGAAUAAAUUGUAACCAUUUUGAAUUACUACUGUCAUUACACACAGCGUUAUCGAGAGGCAUGUCUUUUCUGCCACUGUAAUGCACAUGAAAUUAAAACUGUUUUGGUUUCUAUAUGGUCUAUUUUGUCUACUUUUAUUAACAGGUGUCUUCAGUGACAUGGAAUGGUGUCUGUAAGGUAUGGCAGCCUGAAUGGAGAGAACUACUGGCUAGUGAAAAACAGAUGGGACACUAGAUUUGGAGAUGGAGGCUACAUCCACAUUGCCCACAAUAAAGGAAACGUGUGGAAUUUAGCACAGAUAAGCAG